rnacentral:rRNA from 1 species
UACGUAGGUGACCAGCGUUGUCCGGAUUUACUGGGCGUAAAGAGCGCGCAGGCGUCGUCCAAGUCGAGUGUGAAAGCCCCCGGCUCAACUGGGGAGGGUCAUUCGAUACUGAUCGACUGGAAGGCAGGAGAGGGAAGCGGAAUUCCCGGUGUAGUGGUGAAAUGCGUAGAUAUCGGGAGGAACACCAGUGGCGAAGGCGACUACCUGGCCUGUUUCUUGACGCUGAGGCGCGAAAGCUAGGGGAGCAAACGGG